rnacentral:rRNA from 1 species
CCUACGGGUGGCAGCAGUAGGGAAUAUUGCUCAAUGGGGGAAACCCUGAAGCAGCAACGCCGCGUGGAGGAUGAAGGUUUUCGGAUCGUAAACCCCUUUUGUUAGAGAAGAUAAUUCCGUUAUCUAAUCAAUACUCCCUGGCUAACUCCGUCCCAGCAGCCGCGGUAAUACGGAGGGCGAAAGCGUUCCUCGGAAUCACUGGGCGUAACGAGCGCGUAGGCGGGAUAGCAAGUCAGAGGUGAAAUCCUAUGGCUUAACCAGAGAACUGCAGUUGAAACUGUUCUUCUGGAGUGUGGGAGAGGUAGGUGGAAUUCUUGGUGUAGAGGUAAAAUCCGUAGAGAUCAAGAGGAAGACUCAUGGCGAAGGCGACCAGCUAGAACAUAACUGACGCUGAGGCGCGAAAGCGUGGGGAGCAAACAGGAUUAGAUACCCCAGUAGUC